AGAGACCUUGACAUUAUCUAGUAUGAUUUUUAUCAAGAUCUUCUUCCACGAAUUGUGAAAUAAUGGUGUCUUAUCAUGCAAGUCUAAACAAUCCUUAUUUCAGACUAUAAACUGAGUUCUUCUCCAUUCGUCUUCCACUGAAUGAAACAUUUCCAGUCUUGAAAGAUCUCUGUCUUUCAUUUGCUAGGAC
rnacentral:lncRNA from 14 species